rnacentral:misc_RNA from 1 species
GAUGAAGAACGUAGCGGAAUGCGAUAAGUAAUGUGAAUUGCAGAAUUCGGUGAAUCAUCGAAUCUUUGAACGCACAUUGCGCCCGCCAGUAUUCUGGCGGGCAUGCCUGUCCGAGCGUCAUUUCAACCCUCGAACCCCUCCGGGGGGUCGGCGUUGGGGACCUCGGGAGCCCCUAAGACGGGAUCCCGGCCCCGAAAUACAGUGGCGGUCUCGCCGCAGCCUCUCCUGCGCAGUAGUUUGCACAACUCGCACCGGGAGCGCGGCGCGUCCACGUCCGUAAAACACCCAACUUCUGAAAUGUUGACCUCGGAUCAGGUAGGAAUACCCGCUGAACUUAAGCAUAUCAAUAAGCGGAGGA